rnacentral:rRNA from 1 species
UCCACCCGAGACUCAGUGAAAUUGAACUCGCUGUGAAGAUGCAGUGUACCCGCGGCAAGACGGAAAGACCCCGUGAACCUUUACUAUAGCUUGACACUGAACAUUGAGCCUUGAUGUGUAGGAUAGGUGGGAGGCUUUGAAGUGUGGACGCCAGUCUGCAUGGAGCCGGCCUUGAAAUACCACCCUUUAAUGUUUGAUGUUCUAACGUGGACCCGUGAUCCGGGUUGCGGACAGUGUCUGGUGGGUAGUUUGACUGGGGCGGUCUCCUCCUAAAGAGUAACGGAGGAGCACGAAGGUUGGCUAAUCCUGGUCGGACAUCAGGAGGUUAGUGCAAUGGCAUAAGCCAGCUUGACUGCGAGCGUGACGGCGCGAGCAGGUGCGAAAGCAGGUCAUAGUGAUCCGGUGGUUCUGAAUGGAAGGGCCAUCGCUCAACGGAUAAAAGGUACUCCGGGGAUAACAGGCUGAUACCGCCCAAGAGUUCAUAUCGACGGCGGUGUUUGGCACCUCGAUGUCGGCUCAUCACAUCCUGGGGCUGAAGUAGGUCCCAAGGGUAUGGCUGUUCGCCAUUUAAAGUGGUACGCGAGCUGGGUUUAGAACGUCGUGAGACAGUUCGGUCCCUAUCUGCCGUGGGCGCUGGAGAACUGAGGGGGGCUGCUCCUAGUACGAGAGGACCGGAGUGGACGCAUCACUGGUGUUCGGGUUGUCAUGCCAAUGGCACUGCCCGGUAGCUAAAUGCGGAAGAGAUAAGUGCUGAAAGCAUCUAAGCACGAAACUUGCCCCGAGAUGAGUUCUCCCUGAGACUUAGAGUCUCCUGAAGGAACGUUGAAGACGACGACGUUGAUAGGCCGGGUGUGUAAGCGCAGCGAUGCGUUGAGCUAACCGGUACUAAUGAACCGUGAGGCUUAACCUUACAACGCCGAAG